rnacentral:lncRNA from 1 species
CCCAGUAGAACUUGGGACCACCCUCCUAUGCAUUUAAACCAAUCCCGUAUUCAAGCGAGGCCAUCCUACCUCCCAACCUAGGAGGUCCGGUCCGACCUCGGUACAUUAAAUAAUCGCGGGCACCAGGGAUCUCUCUGAAGGGUGGCGGGGAGAAGGGAACGCGGAGAGGGGCAGGUGGCUUGGCCGGUCAGGCGGCGGCCUCGGGCAAGGAAGCCGUGUUUACACCUGUCACGAGGAAGAGGCGAAGGGUGGGGGAGAGAAAGCAAAGCUCCAAACUUCACAACUCUCUGUGUGUGUGUGUGUGUGUGUGUGUGUCUGUGUCUCUGUGUGUGUGUGUGUGUCUGUGUGUGUGUGUGUGUGUGCAUGCUUUUUUUUUUUCCCGAGGGAGCGGAAGAAGAGCAAAUCAGGGCAGGUAGAGGGAUCUGGACCAGGAGAGGGGCGCGGGGUGGGUCCAGGUGGGGAGGGGGAGAGGUCGCCCCCGGCCGGGGCCGGGGAGCUGGGGGUUGUCAGGGCGGCGGCCGGAGCCCCGCAGCGGGGUGCGGGGCUGGGGGGGGAGCGGCCCCAGCCCCGGCCCCGGCCCCCGAGGACGGACUCGCCCGCAGGCCCGCAGAGCCGCUUCCUUCCCCGCACCCCCAGGCAGGAGCCCCUCACUGCUGCCGCCCGCCCCUCCGUCCCCCCCGCCCCCUGCUCCGGCCAGCCCCGGGGCGGCCUCGGAGGCGGCGCGGUGGGAGUUUCCAGCGUCUGGGCAGCCCCGUCCUCAGAAGGAAGGCGACCCUGGCGCGGCGACCGCUUCUUACCUGGCUCCUCCAAGGCGGCCGCGAUGGGCAUGGCUCGGGGCCGGGGGAGGAACUGGCUCCUCCGGGGCGGAGCGGAGUGGGCGACUAGAGAGGCCGAGCUUCCCGCCGCUCUCUCAGCGGAGCGGCGCCAUCUACACCCACCCGGACUUUCAGCGGCGCCGCGGUACCCCCAUCCCGCUACCCUCCGCCUGCCUCCGCCGCCGCCGCCGCCGCCUCCUCCACCUCCUCCUCCUCCUCCUCCUCCUCCUCCGCGGAGAUUCCCCCCGCCCACUCCACACAUUCUCCCAUCAUGCAGCGGGAGAACCGCCGGCGCGGCUACGUCAUUUCCGGGAGCAAGGUGGCUGGGUGGGGGCCGGGCGGGUGAUGUGGGGAGGGACCCCUGGAAGAGAACUGGUGUCAUAGACGCUCUUGUCGAGCGCGGAGCUCAGCCCGCCAUUUUGGAUGCGGGCAAAAUUGCCCUUUUCUUGGUGCGGGGCGAGCCGCGGAGGGUCUUGUGACAACACCAAGGACCUGGGGCUUGCCGUUGCAGUAAUUAACAUCCCCUAGGAGCAGUGGAAGUUGGGCAAAAAGUGAACCACCUGGAUUGGGAAGUUCAAUUACUGUCCAGGGAGGGAGUGCCUCCAUGGUGGCAAGAAUGGGCUGGCACCGAGGUAUGAAUCAGCCUCAGAAAGGAGCCACUAUAAAGAAGACCAAGGUUGGCUAUUUGAUUGGACAAAGGUCAGGGCAAAGGUGAAAUGGAUAAUUAGUAGAAUUGCUAAACUGUACUAUGUAUGUCUUGUGGCACAGUGGAUACAGUGCCAAGCCUGGAG